GAAAACGAAAUAGAUGCAUUUGCGUUUGACCUGAUCUAACCUCGUAUAAAGAAUGCCGUGUCGCAUCGCAUAAGUGACAUUGCCUCUGACAUCUGGCCCAUAGUGCCAAAAGGAUUAAUCGUCUCGAGGUUCCUCGAGGAUAAAGAUCGUGCCUCGCGAUUUUGGAAACUGGGUGCAGGUCAGCGGAUAUUCAAGAGAAGCACGGCAAAGAGAAAUCAGAAUAGAAUGGUGGGUUGUUAUGGAUCCUCGUGCGCCGCGCCUGUCCGUCGCGAUUCGAUCUAAUAAUCUCGAUCCAAGGGGAAGGUUUCGAAAC